UGUAGUGUUGAUGUUCUAACGUCGACCCCUAAUCGGGGUUGCGGACAGUGCCUGGUGGGUAGUUUGACUGGGGCGGUCUCCUCCCAAAGAGUAACGGAGGAGCACGAAGGUGGGCUAAUCACGGUUGGACAUCGUGAGGUUAGUGCAAUGGCAUAAGCCCGCUUGACUGCGAGAAUGACAAUUCGAGCAGGUGCGAAAGCAGGUCAUAGUGAUCCGGUGGUUCUGAAUGGAAGGGUCGGCUCAUCACAUCCUGGGGCUGAAGUCGGUCCCAAGGGUAUGGCUGUUCGCCAUUUAAAGUGGUACGCGAGCUGGGUUUAGAACGUCGUGAGACAGUUCGGUCCCUAUCUGCCGUGGGCGUUGGAAGAUUGAAGGGGGCUGCUCCUAGUACGAGAGGACCGGAGUGGACGAACCUCUGGUGUUCGGGUUGUGUCGCCAGACGCAUUGCCCGGUAGCUAAGUUCGGAAUCGAUAACCGCUGAAAGCAUCUAAGCGGGAAGCGAGCCCUGAGAUGAGUCUUCCCUGAUACUUUAAGUAUCCUAAAGGGUUGUCGGAGACUACGACGUUGAUAGGUCAGGUGUGUAAGUGCUGUGAGGCAUUGAGCUAACUGAUACUAAUUGCCCGUGAGG
rnacentral:rRNA from 1 species